GUGUCCCCUCCUCCCUUGGAAACAAAGCAAGGACAGCACACGUGGGAAGUUAGAGCCGGGCCAAGGGACUCAGAUGCAGGCGCGUGAGCAACUGCAGAGAUGUGUCAGCCGUGGGCGGGCGUGCUUCUGGCUGGCCCAGAAGACAGGCUGAGCAGGAGAAGGGCAGCCUCCUGUCUGGUGACCCCGCAAGACAUCAGUCAGUGCCCCCCCCAAUUGAAGAAGGAGAUGCAUGCUGGGAAGAUGGACAAACCUACACGAGGAGGGCAACUGCUGUCCCUGCUUGGUCCAAAGGGGAUGGGAAAUGAGUGGGGCGAAAGCCAAGGCCAAGGCUUCCAAUGUCUGAAUUCACAGCAGUUGCCAGGAGCCUUCUCAUGGGAAGCAGCAUUCCAGGACCAGCACCAAGCCUACCCUGGUUCUCACCUGCCCAUCACAUGACUGGGUCCACCCACAGCACCAGGACAGGCUUGCUGUCUAGAAUCAGAAGGCAGUUUGAAAACACAAGACAAAGCCAAGCAAGAUGCCAACACGUGAACAUACUCAAGGCAAUGUCACGGAGCCUGCAGGGACUCAUCAAAGUCACAGAGCAGCCUAGGGAGUGCAGAGUGCGUGUGAUGAGGCUGAAGCCAUACAGUCAAAGAUGACCCAAGUCGCUGAACAGAGAGUCUAGCCAGAGAGCCAGCUGCUCCAGGAAAAUCACACAAAAUGUGCAGUUGUUCCUUAACCAUAUGUUCUUGCUGUAUGUGAAGCUUGAUAGCAAAGCAGGGCAGGUGGCGGCGGGGGGCGGGGGGUACUUCAACAGGUGCACGAGAAUGUGUACCUCCAGGGACCUGGUCUGCACAGGUCCUCCCAGGAGGCCACUGAACAGGUGCGUUACUUCACUGCAUUUCAGUCACUGACUUCAAACCAUCAUGGAGCCACAGGAGGAAGCCACCCUCUGGAAUGAGGUCAUGUGUUGUAAAAGAGAAUCCCGGCAGGAAAGCAAGGCAGCACAGAGGGGGUGCCCCCCACCCAGGAGGCUUAGUAGAAAGGCAUGGGCGGGAUGAAAGGGAACAAGACCAGGAGAGACUGAGUCUAGACUAGUCCUCGGUGUCACCCCUGGGUGACAGCAAGGGAUGUAGGCAGAGUCCAGCGACACAGGAGCACGAGACACUGAGUGCCUGGGAACUAAAGCACGCAGGUCUUUUCUACGGGCAAGCACAUUUGUCCACGCAAAAGAGCCCUGCUUCUUUCUGCAUUUGCCUGCCCUCUCCUGCCAGGGCUUCCUCCCAGAAGCCAGACAGCAAGGAGGCCGGUGGUCCCCUCCACAGGAACCAGACUGACGCACAGAUGUUGGCUUUUGGGGGACAGAAGGCAUAACCAGGACAUAUCCUGUACCCCUCCUCCUAUCCCAAAUGACAGUAGCUUCCCCAAACAGUAGCUUCAGCCACUCCAGCUGGCAGGACGUAAAAGUCCACCAG
rnacentral:lncRNA from 1 species